UAAUUCCCAAACAACUCGACUCUUAGAAAGUGUAUCACAUGAUCAUAGUAAUCUGCAUCAAAGACGGGAGUUUCACCCUCUAUGCCAACCCAUUCCAAGGUACUUAUACGCAGGCUACAAUCGAAAACACUUCUUGAGAUUACAAUGCGGUUGCCUGAAAGACAACAGCUUUUAAAUUUGAGCUUUUCCCUCUUCACUCGCCGUUACUAGGGGAAUCCUUGUUAGUUUCUUUUCCUCCGCGCUUAUUGAUAUGCA
rnacentral:rRNA from 1 species